UAGGAUAAUAGUUAAAUAUAACAUUUAAUUUGCACUUAAAAAAUAUUGAUUAAUCAAUUUAUCUU
rnacentral:tRNA from 1 species